GUGUCUUCAAGGCCAUGCUUAGAAAUCAUGCAUACCAGAGACACCUCCUGUUCUGCUGCAACAGUUGGAACAGCGUCCUCUGGCACGCUAGUUGCCUCCACGUCGGAGCUGCUGC
rnacentral:lncRNA from 1 species